rnacentral:sRNA from 1 species
GGGUGCGUGGUCGUCCGGCAAGUGAGCGAUUUGGUGAACAGACACUCCCUUCUGUAGCCAUGGAUUGUUACAGAAAUUCACUAAGCAGUUCCUGGAUUUACCCCACUGUGAUCCUCUGCUUAUUUGGUUUUUUCUCCAUGAUGAGACCCUCAGAACCAUUCCUUAUCCCAUAUUUAUCUGGACCAGAUAAAAACCUGACCAGUGCAGAGGUAAGUUAACAUACAUACAUAUCUUAAUGUGGUUUUUCAAAUUUUAUAGGACUUGAACAAGGAUACAGGGCUUCCCUCAACUUGAUAUAAGAUGAAUACAUUAAACUCAGUGAGUCUGAUUUUCAUAAUAUGUGUCCCAUACAGACACAUAUUAUUUCCUCUUCUUACUUGCAAACCAUUUCCUCUUCUUACUUGCAAAAAAUUGCAGCCAAAACAUAUUACAUGUGUUAACAAAUUUUUAACUUGCAUAGAGUCCUAACAUUUGUGUUAAUGAUAGGAGCCUUUCAGGUCUCCAUUGAUUCUAUUACACUAAUCCUAAAAUAGCAUCACUGGCAGGCACAGGAUCUAGAUCUAAAUAAACUCGCAGGCUGCUGAGGGAUAAGCAGGAUCUCAUAAAAAAUUGUGGUAUUUCUUUAUGACACUGUUUGCCAGCAGGUGAGCCAUUAACAGCUUUAUCUCCCAGCCCUUGCCUCCUUCUCUGGAAUGCCAGAUUAUCUUACUUAAAAGAGCAACGCCUUUCUUUUUCUUUCUUUCUUUCUUUUUUUUUUUUUUUUUUUUUUUUGUUUUACUGUUUUUGUUUGAGAUGGAGUCUCAC